UUGCUUGGCAAGUAACCCUCUCUUUCUCCCACUCUCUCCCUUUUUCUAUCUUUAUAUAUUCAAUGGUGUUGUGUUGUAGCUAUAUGUUGAUGGUGGUGGUGGUGGUGGGGGUACAAUUUCACUAACCCACACAAAAGAAAGAAAAAAACCUGCAUCUUUUUGGGUUUUCUAUUUCUCAUACCUCUCUAUGUAUCAAUCAAUAUUAAAAAAAAAAAACCACAAAAUGGUGCGUUGAUUAGCGAAGGUUUCCCCACCAAAAGUAGAAAGAGUGCGUAGCUGUUGAAGGUCGUGAUUAGAACUAAUGUGAAAUCCCAUCAUUGUGUUCUUUGCAUCAUCAUUAUCAGCUGUAUAUAUCUUACUUUGUGUCUUCUUAUAUUAUGUUUUACUCCACCGCUGAAGCCGGUCUGUUCCCUUUAGUGAAGGGCUGUGGGCCGAGAUCUACCUAGAGAGAGUGUGUGUGAGAGAGAUCUAUCUAUAUAUAUACAUAGAUAUAGAUGUGGUAUGAAAAAACAUACACUUUCAUUCUUUUCUCUUCUUCACUAGCUAUAUAUUACAUUUCAGGGUUCAAACUAGUUGGUUUUUUCAUCGUUUAGUAUAAAAACACAGACAUCUUACAUUCUAUGUUUUCUGCUGAGUAAUGAUGAAGAUCUAGGGAGUGAAGAUAUGGUUCAUACGUAGGUGCAUGCAUGUAUAUACGUGGGGUUUUGUACAUGUAUAGAUAUAUGCCUGGCUCCCUGUAUGCCAUUUGCAGAGUCCAUUGAAAGAAAUGUUUAAUUGAUGGUCUUCGUGUAUGGCGUGCGAGGAGCCAAGCAUAUGAGAAUCAAAUUUCAUCAUAAUGUCCUAUCUUCAUCAAAGAUACAUAUACAUACAACCCCCGUAACUGAUCCAACUUUGUGUUGGCUUGUCUUGGAAAUUGAGGGUAUAUAUGUGUUCCGGUUAAUUGGAGAAAUGCAGGUAUGCACAGUCCCAUGUCUGAUUUUCAGAUUGCUAAUUGGAUGAAGACCAGUACCAUCCAGAUCAAGAUCAAUAAUUCUUCAUAAUUUUGGGAAAGAGGAAGUACUCAACUUUUUUCUCUGUUGCUGCUGGUAACAAUCCAAUUGAUAGUUCGAUUUAUAUACGGGUUAAAUUGAGGUCAGAUCAUCAGAAUAUGUUGGUUUGCUUUUUUGAUGAUGAUCAGCAUUUUGUGUCUUUCUUUUUCUUUUCUCCUUUUUUUUUUUUUUUUUUUUUUUUUUUUUUUCUUUCCACUCUGAUGAUAAGAAAAAGAUUCCUCUGAUACAUAGAGAAUAAGUUUACUUUUGCUCUACAUUUCUGUUUUGUUUGUUUAAUAUAUGAAUGAAUCAUUUCUUUCUUUUUUCUUUUUCAUGUACCUAGUACUCUAGUAGUAGUUCAGUUCAGUGGUAAAUAACUGUUGGAACUUCUUAACUGUAUGAUUAAGAUUAUGCUGAAUCAUCCUAAGUUUGUUCGGCAGAAAUGAAAGCUCACGAUGUUUGAUUAGAUUGAGAAGAAAAAGGCAUUUGGGAAGGGAAUCAGUUGGAUCGUCUUGAUUGCCUAUGAGAGACUUCUAAUGUAUUGCAAAUUUGCAACAUGGGAAGGGAGGGGUAAAUUUCGCCGAGCUUCCUUAGAAAUAUGAUUUUAUGGCUGAUGCUUCUAAAGAUCGGACACUUGAAUUGCGUGACUUGAACCUUUUAUUUGUAAAAAUCUAGGCGAAUUAGCCAAUUGGUCAUGUGCUUCUCAUACAGUCCUGCAGAAAAAGGUGGGGCAAACGAAAUCAUGUAAGUCGAAGCAUAAGACUGGCUUCUGAGUCAGGAAGUAGAGCUUUGCUCCACUUGUGGACCAUCAAAGAAGGAUAGACAGCCAGAAUUUAAUCGAAUGUUUGACUGUUAAAA